GUCAAGAUGGCCGAGUGGUUAAGGCGCCAGACUUAAGUUCCGGUCUUCGAAGAAGGUGUGGGUUCGAACCCCACUCUUGACA